GUGCUCACCUUGGUAGCACGUACACUAAAAUUACAACGAUACAGAGAAGAUAAGCAUGGCCCCUGAGCAAGGAUGACACACAAAUCUGUGAAGCAUUCCAUAUUUUC